rnacentral:rRNA from 1 species
UAAAUUUAGAGUUUGAUCCUGGCUCAGGACGAACGCUGGCGGCGUGCUUAACACAUGCAAGUCGAGCGAUGAAGCUUCCUUCGGGAAGUGGAUUAGCGGCGGACGGGUGAGUAACACGUGGGUAACCUGCCUCAAAGUGGGGGAUAGCCUUCCGAAAGGAAGAUUAAUACCGCAUAAUAUAAGAGAAUCGCAUGAUUUUUUUAUCAAAGAUUUAUUGCUUUGAGAUGGACCCGCGGCGCAUUAGCUAGUUGGUAAGGUAACGGCUUACCAAGGCAACGAUGCGUAGCCGACCUGAGAGGGUGAUCGGCCACAUUGGAACUGAGACACGGUCCAGACUCCUACGGGAGGCAGCAGUGGGGAAUAUUGCGCAAUGGGGGAAACCCUGACGCAGCAACGCCGCGUGGGUGAUGAAGGUCUUCGGAUUGUAAAGCCCUGUUUUCUAGGACGAUAAUGACGGUACUAGAGGAGGAAGCCACGGCUAACUACGUGCCAGCAGCCGCGGUAAUACGUAGGUGGCGAGCGUUGUCCGGAUUUACUGGGCGUAAAGGGUGCGUAGGCGGAUGUUUAAGUGGGAUGUGAAAUCCCCGGGCUUAACCUGGGGGCUGCAUUCCAAACUGGAUAUCUAGAGUGCAGGAGAGGAAAGCGGAAUUCCUAGUGUAGCGGUGAAAUGCGUAGAGAUUAGGAAGAACACCAGUGGCGAAGGCGGCUUUCUGGACUGUAACUGACGCUGAGGCACGAAAGCGUGGGUAGCAAACAGGAUUAGAUACCCUGGUAGUCCACGCCGUAAACGAUGGAUACUAGGUGUAGGGGGUAUCAACUCCCCCUGUGCCGCAGUUAACACAAUAAGUAUCCCGCCUGGGGAGUACGGUCGCAAGAUUAAAACUCAAAGGAAUUGACGGGGGCCCGCACAAGCAGCGGAGCAUGUGGUUUAAUUCGAAGCAACGCGAAGAACCUUACCUGGACUUGACAUCCCUUGCAUAGCCUAGAGAUAGGUGAAGCCCUUCGGGGCAAGGAGACAGGUGGUGCAUGGUUGUCGUCAGCUCGUGUCGUGAGAUGUUAGGUUAAGUCCUGCAACGAGCGCAACCCUUGUUAUUAGUUGCUACCAUUAAGUUGAGCACUCUAAUGAGACUGCCUGGGUAACCAGGAGGAAGGUGGGGAUGACGUCAAAUCAUCAUGCCCCUUAUGUCCAGGGCUACACACGUGCUACAAUGGUAGGUACAAUAAGACGCAAGACCGUGAGGUGGAGCAAAACUUAUAAAACCUAUCUCAGUUCGGAUUGUAGGCUGCAACUCGCCUACAUGAAGCUGGAGUUGCUAGUAAUCGCGAAUCAGAAUGUCGCGGUGAAUACGUUCCCGGGCCUUGUACACACCGCCCGUCACACCAUGAGAGCUGGUAACACCCGAAGUCCGUGAGGUAACCGUAAGGAACCAGCGGCCGAAGGUGGGAUUAGUGAUUGGGGUGAAGUCGUAACAAGGUAGCCGUAGGAGAACCUGCGGCUGGAUCACCUCCUUUCU